CCGGAUUCAAUGAAUGGGGAGAUAUUAUCGUGAACAACAAAUGCCUUGUGGCAUUGCUCAGCUACAGUUUUGCACUCGGCUUCUUCUUCCUCGCUCUUCACGUCACAAGAUCUGUAGACUUUGCCAUAUACUCAGAAUGCGGUUACUCGGAAUUCUUCAAGCAUGUCAAGAAUCAGCUUCUCUCGAGGAUACAGAGCGAAUUGCCAAGAAAGAGACUACGCUGCAACAGAAAAGGGUGUCGAUGUAGGUCGAAUUGUGUUAGGUGUAAAAGUCGAAACAGCCGUUGAAGCCGAAUGAUGUUCCAGCGAAAAACAAUGCAUUUUCAAAUAUCAUUAGGUCGAUUUCAACGCGAUUCAAUCACGUCCCAGUCAGUGUCGAGAACAAAGGCGCGGAAGUAUAAUACUUGGCGAUUUUAAAAAAAAAAGUUUUCUUGCCUAUUUCGAUUCUUUAUUUUUAUAAUUAUGUUUUUCAUUGGGUUUUCAAAAGACUAACGCGAUAAUGAAUUCAAAUUGCUGCUCGUUUCACCGAAUUUGAAAAUUUAACGUCGUUUGCGAGACAUGGUUCGUCGAAAUUUUAAUUAAUCCGAUAAGAACUACGUAUUUUGCUAAUUUUUAAACAACACAUCCCUAUCUCUGAAUUGGAAUGAAUUUUUCGCGCCUGUAUCUCUGCCGGAAAUCGACCAGAAAUGCGAAACCGGAACAAGUCUUUAUAGUUUAUUUGUCAAGCGUUUUUUCGCACAUACCAUUGUACCACAUUCAGAUAACAAAAAGUGUAUAAUUUGUAAAUUGUAAAAUACUCGUGCAUACAUUAUUUAAACCAUAUCAUCACAACUGUACAGUUUAUAUUGUAAAUAUAUGUUUGUCUAUAUCUACAUUAUAUUGUCAUUGGACACAUUCUUAGAGCGUAUAGAGUGUAAUAAAAACUUGAAUAAUUAUAAUUACGCAACAAUGUGAAAACUUGAUAAAAGGGGAAUUUCAAUCGGUUGGAGUAGACCAACUUUUGUCUCAUUGCCAGUUUAAAAAUUCAUUGAAAUACGACUGCAUCGCAGGUUUGCAAUAUUUUCGAUAAAUGUCAUGGAGCGAGAAAUUCCAGGAUGUUAAUUAAAUAAGCUGUACUUAUUUAUACCUCAUCAAAUUGUCAGGACAAGAAGUGUAAAUAUUAGGGUGACUCGAAAAAAACGGUUUUUUUUUUUUAUCGUUUACCACCAGCUCAAACUCAAGUUUACGACCCCAAACAACACCAUGCAUGGUUUCUGACCCGGAAAGAAAAUGCUAAGAGGUCGCAAAAUUGAGUUUGAG